AAGUCGUAACAAGGUUUCCGUAGGUGAACCUGCGGAAGGAUCAUUAAAAACGUAUCCACGUAUCCACAACUGUGCACUUGUUUCUCUCUCCCUGAUUGCUACAUGAGUCGGUAAAACUCGCCAGCGCUUGAAUGGGACCGCAAGGUCAGAGCUGCGAGAACACUUGGUGUGCUUGCGCACCAGACGAUUGAAGUAGUAAUUCAGGCUAACUUCUUACUAUCGCCAUAACCGUUCAGAUGGUGGUAGUAAGGUACUAAUUCACCAAUUUCACCCCCUUUUUGCUAGUUGACUUUUUUAAUGUUGUGCUCACGCUUAUAUUAAUUUAUGAGCUUGUUCACACACGUUUCUUAAUUGAACGUAAAAAUACAACUCUUAGCAAUGGAUAUCUAGGUUCUC
rnacentral:misc_RNA from 1 species